AAGCAACCCUCAACCACCAGAGCAACACAGUGCCUCGAUCGGUGAUCAGUGUCAGUUUGAGAAAGUCCAACAUGAAGUGGAUUACUCUUUAUCUCCUAACACUCUGCUUCCCUACGACCAGAGCCAACUGUAACCCUAACCAUAUUUUAGAUGAUUGCAUAAACCAAAAUCCUGUACCGUGGCAAAGGUGCUAUGACAAUAAAAUUACGGCGUGCAAACCAAUUGGUCGUUCCCAUGGGUUUGUUAAUGUCGACAAGAAAGCAUCAGAACAGGUGAGGUGAUCAGAGGUAAAACUUUUAUCUGGGAAGCAUCAACACAUGAAAAUUGAUUGUUGUUUUUGUUUGUUUUGUUGUUGUUGUUGUUGUUUUUUAAGAAAGUGACACAUUUUAAGCAUUUAUUUCAGUUUAUUUUAAUGAUUAGGGAUUACUGCUAACAAACCCCCCAAUGUUUAAGAUAAUUCUAACCAAUAAAAAAGUUUUUUAUUGGUGUAUAUUGGUUGGUUUGACUGUUGGUUUUAGUGGUGGCCAACCUCAAAGUAUGUGAUUGUACCAUACAGUAUAUACACCUACUAGGUCGAGUUCCAAGCAUUGCAUGGAAGUGAUCAACUUCUGAUUCUGCUGAGGUGUUAAGGAAUCCCAUAUUGUUUUCAACUUGUCUUCAUUGUUGGGUCUAGUACCUCAUCUUCCUCCUGACAGAACCAUGUAGACUCCAUUGGGCUCUAGUAAGGCCAGUAUUCUGGUCACCAUAAUGGUUCUUUGGUACAUUUGGUAGUAUGGGUAGGUGAUAAAUCCUGCUGAAAAAUGAAAUCAGCAUCUCCAUAAACAUUGUCAGAAGCAAAGAAGCAAGGGAUGCUCUAAAACUUCCUGCCAGAUGACUCUGAACUUGAUCAACAUCAGUGGACCACCACCAUCAGUGGACCACCACCAUCAGGUGACGAAGACUUAACACCCCUAUUUGUGACAGUCAUCCCAAACUCUGACCUUGAUUUCCUCAGUGAAAACUUUACUUUCACAUGAAAAGAGAAGUUUGGACCAGUGAGCAACAGUCCACUUCUUUGUUCUUCUCAUCAAAGGUAUAAGUGUUGUCUCUAGUACUGGUGUUUAACAAACUGAAUGUUGUAGCCCAUAUCUUGGAUAAAUCGGUGUAUAAGGUGACUUUUAAACUCCUGACUCCAGCAUCACUCGAUGUCUUGUGAGUUUUUGCCAAACUCCUAUUUCCUUCCUUCCUUGUGAAACUUUUUUUUCUUUUCCAUUAACAUUGAAGGAGAUAGAACUUGUUCAGCUGUGGUCACUGACACCAACCAUGUCUUUAUGGUUGAUGUCAGUGACCGAAUACUGAAAGUGUCCAGUCAGAGGUCUUUCUCAUGAUUAUGAAGGUCACAACAUUUCUGUAAAUGUCCAAUGUUCUGAGAAACUGAAUGAUGGGUUUCCAUGAGAUGUAAGACAUAAACAUCAAAAUGAACAGUAUAUGCAUGAAAAGAAAAUAUACAGCUGAAACCAGAAUUUUACUUACA